rnacentral:rRNA from 1 species
GACGAACGCUGGCGGCGUGCUUAACACAUGCAAGUCGAACGGAAAGGCCUGCUUUCCCUUGUGUAUUGCGGGUACUCGAGUGGCGAACGGGUGAGUAACACGUGAGUGAUCUGCCCCCAACUUGGGUAUAAGCCUGGGAAACUGGGUCUAAUUCCCGAUAGGACUGCAGGGUGGUGCCUGUGGUGGAAAACGAUUUUCUAGUGGUAGGGGAUGAGCUCGCGGCCUAUCAGCUUGUUGGUGGGGUAAUGGCCUACCAAGGCGGCGACGGGUAGCCGGCCGGAGAGGGUGGACGGCCACAUUGGGACUGAGAUACGGCCCAGACUCCUACGGGAGGCAGCAGUGGGGAAUAGUGCACAAUGGGCGGAAGCCUGAUGCAGCGACGCCGCGUGGGGGAUGACGGCCUUCGGGUUGUAAACUCCUUUCGACCGCGAGGAAGCCACCUGGUUGGAAGGGUGGUGACGGUAGUGGUAGAAGAAGCACCGGCUAACUACGUG